GGGGAAUUUUCCGCAAUGGGCGAAAGCCUGACGGAGCAACGCCGCGUGAGGGAAGAAGGCCUCUGGGCUGUAAACCUCUUUUCUCAAGGAAGAAGAUCUGACGGUACUUGAGGAAUAAGCCACGGCUAAUUCCGUGCCAGCAGCCGCGGUAAUACGGGAGUGGCAAGCGUUAUCCGGAAUUAUUGGGCGUAAAGCGUCCGCAGGCGGCCUUUCAAGUCUGCUGUUAAAGCGUGGAGCUUAACUCCAUUAAGGCAGUGGAAACUGUUGGGCUUGAGUGUGGUAGGGGCAGAGGGAAUUCCCGGUGUAGCGGUGAAAUGCGUAGAUAUCGGGAAGAACACCAGUGGCGAAGGCGCUCUGCUGGGCCAUAACUGACGCUCAUGGACGAAAGCCAGGGGAGCGAAAGGGAUUAGAUAC
rnacentral:rRNA from 1 species